CUCUUCCUCUCUCCCCUAAGCCCCUUCCACGCCGCCCAUACCCACCUGCACUUCCGCCGCUUUUUUCGUCUGCCGCCGCCCGUCCCCACACCUUCCCUUCUAUCUUCCUCUCUCUCGCCGUCUCUCGAAGAAGCUGUGGUACUCCACUGAAUCCCGAUCUGAGGCAAAGAAGGUCAGCCUCGCCGCCACGGCGACACCUACUCCGACGACGUCUCCACCCCAACCAUCGCCGCGCUGAGGAGGUUGCGAGCGAGGUAAUGUUUCUAGCGCGAGGCGCCGCUGCACGGCUCACCUCGAGAGCAGCAGCGCCGUGACGUUGAGGCGGCCCAUAUCCUCCUCUUUCUCCGGCGAAAUACAGCAAGCUGGCCCCUUCUUCCCUUUUUCUUUUUCGGCGAUUUCGCCGGAUCUUCCAAAUUCUAGACUCCCAAAAUUUCCACCCCUCUCCCCAAAUGUAAUAAGUACUUGUUUAUUGAAGAGUUUGGGAUACGGUGCAUAUUCUUGUUAUUGUGAGUAUGCUGCUUUC
rnacentral:lncRNA from 1 species